GAGCACGUAGGUGGGUUUGUAAGUCAGACGUGAAAGCCUUCUGUUCAACGGAAGAAUUGCAUCUGAAACUACAAACCUUGAGUGUAGGAGGGGAGAAUGGAACUUCUGGUGGAGCGGUGAAAUGCGUAGAUAUCAGAAGGAACGCCGGCGGCGAAAGCGAUUCUCUGGCCUAUUACUGACACUCAGUGUGCGAAAGCUAGGGGAGCAAACGGGAUUAGAUACCCCGGUAGUCCUAGCCGUAAACGAUGGGCACUAAGUAGAGGGAAUUACCGAUGUUCUCUCUGCCGUARCUAACGCAUUAAGUGCCCCGCCUGGGGAGUACGGCCGCAAGGCUAAAACUCAAAAGAAUUGACGGGGGCUCGCACAAGCGGUGGAGCAUGUGGCUUAAUUCGAUGCAACGCGAAAAACCUUACCGGGGCUUGACAUGGUAGAAGUAGGAACCCGAAAGGGUAACGAACGGUAUCCAGUCGGUGACUAUCACAGGUGUUGCAUGGCUGUCGUCAGCUCGUGUCGUGAGACGUUGGGUUAAGUCCCCUAACGAGCGAAACCCUUGUUUUUAGUUGCCAGCGGGUUGUGCCGGGCACUCUAGAAAGACUGCCGUCGUCAAGACGGAGGAAGGUGGGGAUGACGUCAAGUCAUCAUGGCCCUUAUGCCCCGGGCUGCACACGUGCUACAAUGGCCGGUACAAACGGAACSAAGCCGAGGGUGAAGCGAAUCC
rnacentral:rRNA from 1 species